CAAAGAGACACGCACACUCUGAGUUUCUAAGAGUAAGUCACUGUCAGUUCCUGGUGUGAGCCACCUGCCACAUGGACACAGUUUCCUCUUUCUGAUGGCAAUGUUUUCUUCCAAAUUGUUCUGCACGUUUUUGGCGAGAGCAUGAGGCUGUGCAGCGUCCCCUCCCUGGCGCCCGCCUGUGCCCUGCACAUUGGCCUACACUGCGGUGAUCUCACUUGGCCCCCCCCUGAUUCCCGACAUACAGCAGCGGAAGCUGAGGCUCCGGGGGAACAGCCUCAACUGAUUCUGUCCCUGAACUUCCAUACACAGCCCGGGAGUUGUCUUAGAGUCAUGAUUUAUUUAACUGUUCUUUCAUUUUACAGAACAUAAAAUGUAUUGUUUCCAACUUUUUUCCUAUGGUAAAUAAUGCUAAAGUAAAUAUCUCUGUGCAUGAAACUUUUUGUAUAUGUUGGAAUAUCCUUAAGAUAAGGCCCCAGAACUAAAAGUACCCUGUCAAAGAGUGAGCAUUUCCGGUUCUCCUGCUGUGCUUUGCUGCAACGUUCUCACUCCACAUUCCUGGGGCAGGUAGGGGAGGGCCAGCUGGGUUUGGAUCAUAAUCCUGAAAGACACAAUCCCAAACACCAUAAUCUCGAAUGUUGAAAUCCCUAAAGAUCAAAAUCCCUAAAGUCUAAAAUCUCUGAUAUUUCAGAUGACCACAGUUACAGGGCUGUGUGCACACAAUUAGUAACCAUAGUGAUAUACACGUACACAUUUCUCUUUUGACUUAUUUCUUUAUGGUCUGUCUUCUUAUAACUGCUACACCCAUGCUGCUGUCGUUAGUUUCCUCAGUGUUUAUGCAAAAAUACCUAUGUUAUCAUUGCCUAUUUUAUUGUGUAAAGUGGCCUAUGAAAUGUUCUGUUGUGUUUUUAUGUUUCUCAAAUACAUACCUUUUAAAAAUGUAAAUAAAUAACAUUGACAUUA
rnacentral:lncRNA from 1 species